AUAGCUAUUUAGCUCAGUGGUUAGGACAUUGGAUUUAUGAUUGGAAGGACUUGAGUUCAAAUCCCACUUGUUAUG